rnacentral:rRNA from 1 species
AUACAGAGGGUGCAAGCGUUACUCGGAAUCACUGGGCGUAAAGCGCGCGCAGGCGGCCAUUUAAGUUGGAUGUGAAAGCCUACGGCUCAACCGUAGAACUGCAUCCAAAACUAUUUGGCUAGAGUGUGGGAGAGGAAGAUGGAAUUAGUUGUGUAGGGGUAAAACCCGUAGAGAUAACUAGGAAUACCAAAAGCGAAGGCAAUCUUCUGGAACACUACUGACGCUGAGGCGCGAAAGCGUGGGGAGCAAACGGGAUUAGAAACCCCAGUAGUCC